rnacentral:rRNA from 1 species
GGCUUAUUGUUUAUGAUUUUAGGUCUAGCCUGCCCAAUGACGGAGUUAAAUGGCCGCAGUAUAUUGACUGUGCAAAGGUAGCAUAAUCACUAGUUUUUUAAUUGAAAGCUUGAAUGAAAGGUUUGAUGAAAAAGUUUCUGUCUCUAUCAGAAUUUAUUAGAAGUUUAUUUUUAAGUUAAAAAGCUUAAAUUUGUAUUGAAGACGAGAAGACCCUAUAGAGUUUUAUAUUUAAAUAAGUGGAUGAUUUUUAGAAUUGGCAAAUUUUUUUUUUAUUUAAGUAUUUGGUUGGGGCGAUUUAAAAAUUAGGUAAACUUUUUUUUUAUUAUAACACUAGUUUGUGAAUAUUUGAUCCUUAAAUAGAGAUUGAAAGAUUAAAUUACCUUAGGGAUAACAGCGUUAUUUUUCUUAGAGCUCUUAUCGAAAGAAAAGAUUGCGACCUCGAUGUUGGAUUAAAAUUAGUUGUUGGUGUAGGAGCUAAUGAACUGGGUCUGUUCGACCUUUAGAUUUUUACAUGAUCUGAGUUUAGACCGGUGUGAG